rnacentral:rRNA from 1 species
GACGAACGCUGGCGGCGCGCCUAACACAUGCAAGUCGAACGAGCGAGAGGAGGUUUACUUUCUCAAGCGAGUGGCGAACGGGUGAGUAACGCGUGAGGAACCUGCCUCAAAGAGGGGGACAACAGUUGGAAACGACUGCUAAUACCGCAUAAGCCCACGACCCGGCAUCGGGUAGAGGGAAAAGGAGCAAUCCGCUUUGAGAUGGCCUCGCGUCCGAUUAGCUAGUUGGUGAGGUAAUGGCCCACCAAGGCGACGAUCGGUAGCCGGACUGAGGGGUUGAACGGCCACAUUGGGACUGAGACACGGCCCAGACUCCUACGGGAGGCAGCAGUGGGGAAUAUUGCACAAUGGGGGAAACCCUGAAGCAGCGACGCCGCGUGGAGGAAGAAGGUCUUCGGAUUGUAAACUCCUGUUGUUGAGGAAGAUAAUGACGGUACUCAACAAGGAAGUGACGGCUAACUACGUG